UACGUAGGGGCAAGCGUUGUCCGGAAUCAUUGGGCGUAAAGAGCGUGUAGGCGGCCCGGUAAGUCCGCUGUGAAAGUCGGGGCUCAACCCUCGAAUGCCGGUGGAUACUGUCGGGCUAGAGUGCGGAAGAGGCGAGUGGAAUUCCUGGUGUAGCGGUGAAAUGCGCAGAUAUCAGGAGGAACACCGGUGGCGAAGGCGGGUCUCUGGGCCAUUACUGACGCUGGAG
rnacentral:rRNA from 1 species